AUUGAACGCUGGCGGCAGGCCUAACACAUGCAAGUCGAACGAGUGGCGGACGGGUGAGUAAUGUAUGGGGAUCUGCCUGGUAGUGGGGGAUAACGUCCGGAAACGGGCGCUAAUACCGCAUACUAUCAGAUGAGCCUAGGUCGGAUUAGCUAGUUGGGGGGGUAAAGGCCUACCAAGGCGACGAUCCGUAACUGGUCUGAGAGGAUGACCAGCCACACUGGAACUGAGACACGGUCCAGACUCCUACGGGAGGCAGCAGUGGGGAAUAUUGCACAAUGGGCGCAAGCCUGAUGCAGCCAUGCCGCGUGUGUGAAGAAGGCCUUCGGGUUGUAAAGCACUUUCAGCGAGGAGGCGUUACUCGCAGAAGAAGCACCGGCUAACUCCGUGCCAGCAGCCGCGGUAAUAC
rnacentral:rRNA from 1 species